rnacentral:rRNA from 1 species
CACGUGGGGAACCUGCCCCAUAGUCUGGGAUACCACUUGGAAACAGGUGCUAAUACCGGAUAAGAAAGCAGAUCGCAUGAUCAGCUUUUAAAAGGCGGCGUAAGCUGUCGCUAUGGGAUGGCCCCGCGGUGCAUUAGCUAGUUGGUAAGGUAAAGGGCUUACCAAGGCGAUGAUGCAUAGCCGAGUUGAGAGACUGAUCGGCCACAUUGGGACUGAGACACGGCCCAAACUCCUACGGGAGGCAAGCAGCC